UGCCAAGUCGAGCGAAUGGAUUAAGAGCUUGCUCUUAUGAAGUUAGCGGCGGACGGGUGAGUAACACGUGGGUAACCUGCCCAUAAGACUGGGAUAACUCCGGGAAACCGGGGCUAAUACCGGAUAACAUUUUGAACCGCAUGGUUCGAAAUUGAAAGGCGGCUUCGGCUGUCACUUAUGGAUGGACCCGCGUCGCAUUAGCUAGUUGGUGAGGUAACGGCUCACCAAGGCAACGAUGCGUAGCCGACCUGAGAGGGUGAUCGGCCACACUGGGACUGAGACACGGCCCAGACUCCUACGGGAGGCAGCAGUAGGGAAUCUUCCGCAAUGGACGAAAGUCUGACGGAGCAACGCCGCGUGAGUGAUGAAGGCUUUCGGGUCGUAAAACUCUGUUGUUAGGGAAGAACAAGUGCUAGUUGAAUAAGCUGGCACCUUGACGGUACCUAACCAGAAAGCCACGGCUAACUACGUGCCAGCAGCCGCGGUAAUACGUAGGUGGCAAGCGUUAUCCGGAAUUAUUGGGCGUAAAGCGCGCGCAGGUGGUUUCUUAAGUCUGAUGUGAAAGCCCACGGCUCAACCGUGGAGGGUCAUUGGAAACUGGGAGACUUGAGUGCAGAAGAGGAAAGUGGAAUUCCAUGUGUAGCGGUGAAAUGCGUAGAGAUAUGGAGGAACACCAGU
rnacentral:rRNA from 1 species